UACGGAGGGGGUUAGCGUUGUUCGGAAUUACUGGGCGUAAAGCGCACGUAGGCGGAUCAAUAAGUUAGAGGUGAAAUCCCAGGGCUCAACCCUGGAACUGCCUUUAAUACUGUUGGUCUAGAGUUCGAGAGAGGUAAGUGGAAUUCCGGGUGUAGAGGUGAAAUUCGUAGAUAUUCGGAGGAACACCAGUGGCGAAGGCGGCUUACUGGCUCGAUACUGACGCUGAGGUGCGAAAGUGUGGGGAGCAAACAGG
rnacentral:rRNA from 1 species